rnacentral:rRNA from 1 species
GUCGUCAGGAUGAACGCUAGCUACAGGCUUAACACAUGCAAGUCGAGGGGCAGCAUUGGAGUAGCAAUACUCAGAUGGCGACCGGCGCACGGGUGAGUAACACGUAUCCAACCUGCCGCUUACUCGGGGAUAGCCUUUACGAAAGAAAGAUUAAUACCCGAUGGUAUAAAGAGUUCGCAUGUUCUCUUUAUUAAAGAAUUUCGGUAAGCGAUGGGGAUGCGUUCCAUUAGAUAGUUGCGGGGUAACGGCCCACCAAGUCUACCGAUGGAUAGGGGUUCUGAGAGGAAGGUCCCCCACAUUGGAACUGAGACACGGUCCAAACUCCUACGGGAGGCAGCAGUGAGGAAUAUUGGUCAAUGGACGAGAGUCUGAACCAGCCAAAGUAGCGUGAAGGAUGACUGCCCUAUGGGUUGUAAACUUCUUUUAUAAGGGAAUAAAGUGAGGGACGUGUCCCUUUUUGUAUGUACCUUAUGAAUAAGGAUCGGCUAACUCCGUGCCAGCCGCGGC